GUAAGGUUUCUACCUAAGGGGCUAGUGG
rnacentral:piRNA from 1 species